GUAGCUCUCGCAUCAGCAAGUCCAUCAAUUGUCUCCAAGGUCUGCCGUGUUGACCAUUCCUCACACAUGAUAUCUAACUUGAUGGGCCCUUGAACCCUCGAACUCCCGGAAUCGGAGAGGGGGAGUUUAACAGGGGCAGGAUGCAGGGAGAACACAAGAAGACAUAUCAUGCUGCCGGUGCUCGCCUACCCUCCAAUCAGAGCCAACCCUCGGUGGCAGAAAUCGCCCUCAGGUUUGCAACAGGACCGACCAAGUCGUGGAAAUAGACGUCUUGAUAUUCAACAGACCUAUGUUGUGGCUUGAAAUUUCCUGCAGAAUAAUGCACGAAGCUGCAAGGCAUCGUGACAGGGACAAGCCAUCUCCCUCAAUGAGCAAUUUUUUUGCGCGUACCUGAGUGUAUUAAAUGCAUAAAACCUACUGGAUUAUAUGAG
rnacentral:sRNA from 1 species